ensembl:lncRNA
CCGUGCCAUUGUGAGGUAGCAGCUGUGCACCUCCUGACUAGGCCCCACGUCAUGUCACAGUCAUUGUGGUUUCACAGAACUGAGAGGUGCAGUAGCACCUCACAGCUCUUGUGUGGUUUCCCUCUCACAUGGGACACAGGACAGAGCCAGCAUGCGGCAAGAGGGGAGUCUGGACAAAGGCUGGUCAUAAAUUACCAAGGCAAGUUCCUCAGUGCUAAGGAUGAAGCCAGCACCAGUAUGGCUGACUGAAAUUAAAUAACUCUGAUAGACCAGCUGUAACAAACAAAUUAACCUGAAUGUAUUUGCCCCAAAGCAAUGAGAUGAUUCUAUUUAGUAUGGAAGACAGAAAGGAAAAAGAGGAAGAGGAAGAGGAAGAGGAAGAGGAAGAGGAAGAGGAAGAGGAAGAGGAAAGAAAUGGAAAGAGGGAAGGGAAGGGAAGGGAAGGGAAGGGAAG